rnacentral:rRNA from 1 species
AUUGAACGCUGGCGGCAGGCUUAACGCAUGCAAGUCGAGCGGGGUGAUGGUGCUUGCACUAUCACUUAGCGGCGGACGGGUGAGUAAUGCUUAGGAAUCUGCCUAUUAGUGGGGGACAACAUCUCGAAAGGGAUGCUAAUACCGCAUACGUCCUACGGGAGAAAGCAGGGGAUCACUUGUGACCUUGCGCUAAUAGAUGAGCCUAAGUCGGAUUAGCUAGUUGGUGGGGUAAAGGCCUACCAAGGCGACGAUCUGUAGCGGGUCUGAGAGGAUGAUCCGCCACACUGGGACUGAAACACGGCCCAGACUCCUACGGGAGGCAGCAGUGGGGAAUAUUGGACAAUGGGGGGAACCCUGAUCCAGCCAUGCCGCGUGUGUGAAGAAGGCCUUAUGGUUGUAAAGCACUUUAAGCGAGGAGGAGGCUCUUUUGGUUAAUACCCAAGAUGAGUGGACGUUACUCGCAGAAUAAGCACCGGCUAACUCUGUGCCAGCAGCCGCAGUAA